rnacentral:tRNA from 1 species
GGGGUCGUAGCUCAGUUGGGAGAGCGCUUGAAUGGCAUUCAAGAGGUCCGGGGUUCGAUCCCCCGCGGCUCCACCA